UUAUUUUUUUAUGUAACCCAGAUGAAAGAAUAAUCAAUCUUGGCCCGGGUCAUAGCUAUGUGAAAUAUUUUUGUAUCCUUCUGGCUAAAUCUAUACUGUUCUUGUGGUAUACUUUAGGGAAUAACUGCUGUUUCCUCCAACCAAUUACCCUGGAGCAGUGUGAAUCCUUGCUGUUCUUAGCUAGCCCCUUCUAAAAUCUAUUUGCUACAUCUAUACUGAAGAGUGCUCGACAUUACUGGCUGAGAACAUAUUCCGGAAGCUACUGUGCCCACUCAAUGUGAACACCCUUCUGCACGCCACACUUACCAUCUGUCUGCCUUUGUGUGCCACAUGACUGCACCAUCAAGCUUCAAAAACAGCCAUCCAGAGCCAAACUCUCCUCAGUGGUCCUGGAGACAACAGGCUGCAUCUCCAGUUGCCACUGCUGCAUUCACUGUGUGACAAGUGUCUUGUCACACAUCUUGUCAGGUCUGCCACUGGGUCAAUCUUGUCCUCCUAUGUUCAAGGUCAGUCUUAGUUACAGCAUACCAAUGGCCCAGUUUUCUCUUUCAAAAAUAUCUUUGAACAAAGCAUCAAAGCAUGCAGUUGUUGUCAUGUGUGAAGAUGCACAAUGUAGCACAGCGUCUCAAGGAACCAAAAACCAGAUACAGCACUCAAGACAUUGUCUUGAUUGCUGAAUGGAAAGAUCUCUUCUCUGCACUUCUUGGUCUUUGCUGCCAGGAUGCACUGCUGGUUCACAUUCAGCUGUCCAUCAGGACACCCAGGUCCUUUUCUGCUUCAGUCAGCCCCAGCCUGCACAGUUGCACAGAGUAUUUUUUUUUUUUUUUUUUGCCCAGGAGCAGGACUUCAUACCUGCUUUCACUAAACUUUGUGAAGUUUCUGUUAGUUCAUUUAUCUAGCUUGUCCAGGUUGCUCUGAAUAGCAGUGGCUUCCCCCAUUUUUAAGUCAUGCACAAACUUGCUGAAGAUACAUUUCAUCCCAUCAUCCAGGUCAUUAAUAAAGACAGUCCAUGUGCUAUGCAUAUUAGUGUGCAGCCAUUUGAAAUCUGUCCUGAACUGUGCCGCUUUUACAACAGAUGUGUGAAAGCCUGCCAUGUCAUGCUGUGCCUCUAGUCCUUUGUUCCCUUGCUCAUCUUCAGAUCAUGGUUCCCAUCCCCUGGCAUAUACAAAGUCCUCUUCAGUAGGUUAGUAAGCCAGUUUGACCACUUCUUUGCCUACCGAGUAGUCCUUGUUCCUCAGAAAGUUUGCCUGCGACACCACCCAAGUAGCCUAGUGCUGACCAGCUGGAUACACUCACUUCCAUUUCAAAUUUUGCCUUCACGUAGGGGACUGAGAAGGUUGCCACCAGGCCACCUGCCCUUCACCUCACUCCUACAGUCUCUAGAUAUAUUCCACAUUAACCCUGGCAGCAGUGGUGGCCACACAUAAGAGGGGCAAAGCUGAAGUUCAAGGUCUAGCCAAGCCUCACCAGCCUUUCUGUAACAUCCCUGACAACGGUCCCUGGUGGGGCUUGCAGGCAGGUGGAUCUGUCCCCUGCAGGACGGGGUGUCCAAAAGCUACUUCCCCUUUGUGCAGGAACCGGGAGGCAGCCCCACCACUUACGUCCCCUGAGCCCCAAGGCGCCUAAAGCGCCUCCCAGGUGGGCCAGCAGCAGGGCAGGGCGCUGCCGCGCUUAUUGAGAGGACCGACCCUAAGAUGGCGUCCUCAGCCCUCACGCGCCGUGCCAGCAGCCCUCAGCCCUCACGCGCCGCGCACUGUCCAUCCCAUCGCAUCUCAUCUCAUCCCAACUCGCCCCGUCCCGUCCCGUCCCGUCCCGUCCCGUCGCCGUCCGCCCCGUCCAGGCGGCGGCGCUUUCCCCUCGCGUUCUCCCCCACCGAAGCCAGCGGCCGGGUCCGCGACAACUGAGCCCGGUUCUUGAGCGCCUGUCCGGCCACGGCAGGCGGCCACAGCCUGGGGGCAGCGCUGAGGACCCUCGCGAAGGUUCGUCCCACAGCUGCUGAGGAGGCAUCACAUGCUAUAAAUACCACCCAUAUUCUGACCAAGAGGAUAACCGGCCUGAGAAGAAAAGAGAUACGAGGAAAGGAAAGUUCUUGAUCAGACUGUUUUUCCAGUGUCUCUUGAGGCCCAUCUCACCUCUAAGUAUUUGAAAGAUGCAUUUCCAAAGAUCGGGGAAAAGCUACCUGAAAAAGGUCAAAGGUGGCAAAAUCAGAAGUAAAGCCACAGGACAAAGCCA